GGCGACGUGCCAGAGCUAGGCCCAUUGGGCUUGCUUGAUGAGCAAGAGUCGUAACGGGCUCGGGGGUUCAAAUCCCUCCGUCGCCG
rnacentral:tRNA from 1 species